GGAGCUGCUGCUCCCCAGCCUGGAGAGGACCUGCCCUGUGCUCCAUCACUCUCGGCCUGUUGCCAGGCAACGCAGCAUCACAUGGCUUUCACUCCCAAACAAACUGCAGACACAGGGCAUUCUUCUCCUGCUCUUCCAGAGAGGGACCUCACCUGUCGCCCUGGCAGCCCUGAGGGGUCUCCAGUGGUCACUGCUGGCCGCUGGCUUUGCUGCAGCUCCUCGCUUUGCCUCCCCAUCUGCCACCUUGGCACCUGGCAAGGUGCACAUUGAGUUUUGUUGGAAGGUUUGUUUGUUGGUUUGUGGGGCUCCCUCUGGGCAAAGCCCCACUUGGAGUGGUGGGAAACCCUGCUGUGAUCCUUGUCUCCCUCAGGGACUUGUUUAACAGCUGUCCCACCCUCAGACUGCCCAGGCCUACCCAGGAAUUACCCAGGAGUUUUGUUUUCACAAGUCCAAAGGCUGAAAUGGCUCCAGAAGUUGAGGCACGGCCCGAGGUUGCUUGCUGUCAGCGGGCUGAUGGACUGUCAGAUCCAUCUCAGGGGCAGGACACAUGUCUCACUGUCUCCCAACCCAUAAUGUACAAAUUGUGUUUCCUGACAGCCAUAUAACACUCCUGAGAGCUAAUUUUGGCACAAUUAUCACCCUUUUCAGGUCAUAAAAGUCACUCAGCACUCAGCCACCUGAUUAGAGCUGUCAGCCAAAGCCUGCUGCAACCACUGCAGGGGUUGAGCAGCAUGGAAAAGCACACAUGGCUUAUCCCACAUGAAAUGCUGAGCCAGAGAGGAGCACACAUCCUGUUCCCAGGGGGAAUGUGUUGCAAAUGCCCUGUCACAGGCAGGAGGAGUGCUAGAGGAAGGAAGCACAUCUCUCCCAAAGCAGGAUGUGCCUUCAGAAAGCACAUUUUGCAUGUGUCCUCCUGCAUUUCCACACUGGCAGCUGGACUUGGCAGUGUCCAGCUUCCAUCACAGAAAAAGUUCCAGUCCUUCCAUCACAGAAAGAGUUCCAGUCCUUCCAUCACAGAAAGAGUUCCAGUCCUUCCAUCACAGAAAGAGUUCCAGUCCUUUCAUCACAGGAAGAGUGUCCAGUCCUUCCAUCACAGAAAGAGUUCCAGUCCUUCCAUCACAGGAAGAGUUCCAGUCCUUCCAUCACAGAAAGAGUGUCCAGUCCUUCCAUCACAGAAAGAGUUCCAGUCCUUCCAUCACAGAAAGAGUUCCAGUCCUUCCAUCACAGGAAGAGUGUCCAGUCCUUCCAUCACAGGAAGAGUUCCAGUCCUUCCAUCACAGGAAGAAGCCUGCUAGCUGCUUUAGGUGGGAAGGAGUAUCCCUGGGAGUGAGAAGUGUGACACCCUCUGAAAUGGGAAGGCCUAAGGGGGACAUGGGCCCAGCCCUCAGAACAGAUUCCAUCACUAACAAUAAUGAGCAGGGAGGUAUGGAUAUUCUCAGCUCAGUCAGAGAGAAAAGCAGAGAUUUCUGCCAGGCUAAGCCUGGGAAAAAGUCCGGGAGGAAUGUAAACAAUUUAUUAUCUCUCUUUCUGUUCAUAUUGUUUAUAGAUACAUUCUGCCACCGUGUGCUAUUCAUAGUGCACCACUGGUGUGAGAUGUGUUUACUCUAGGACCAAUGAAGUUCUCUAUAAAAGAGCAAUGUACUUGUUAAUAAACUUCUUCUUCAUUGCCUUCUGAA